rnacentral:rRNA from 1 species
CCUACGGGGGGCUGCAGUGGGGAAUUUUGGACAAUGGGCGCAAGCCUGAUCCAGCAAUGCCGCGUGCAGGAUGAAGGCCUUCGGGUUGUAAACUGCUUUUGUACGGAGCGAAAAGGCUUCCACUAAUACUGGGGGCUCAUGACGGUACCGUAAGAAUAAGCACCGGCUAACUACGUGCCAGCAGCCGCGGUAAUACGUAGGGUGCAAGCGUUAAUCGGAAUUACUGGGCGUAAAGCGUGCGCAGGCGGUCUUGUAAGACAGGUGUGAAAUCCCCG